GACGAACGCUGGCGGCGUGCCUAAUACAUGCAAGUAGAACGCUGAAGGAGGAGCUUGCUUCUCUGGAUGAGUUGCGAACGGGUGAGUAACGCGUAGGUAACCUGCCUGGUAGCGGGGGAUAACUAUUGGAAACGAUAGCUAAUACCGCAUAAUAGUAGAUGUUGCAUGACAUUUGCUUAAAAGGUGCAAUUGCAUCACUACCAGAUGGACCUGCGUUGUAUUAGCUAGUUGGUGGGGUAACGGCUCACCAAGGCGACGAUACAUAGCCGACCUGAGAGGGUGAUCGGCCACACUGGGACUGAGACACGGCCCAGACUCCUACGGGAGGCAGCAGUAGGGAAUCUUCGGCAAUGGACGGAAGUCUGACCGAGCAACGCCGCGUGAGUGAAGAAGGUUUUCGGAUCGUAAAGCUCUGUUGUAAGAGAAGAACGAGUGUGAGAGUGGAAAGUUCACACUGUGACGGUAUCUUACCAGAAAGGGACAGCUAACUACGUG
rnacentral:rRNA from 1 species